GGACUUGACUUGACUAAGCCAAACUGGACGCUGCGCGUGGUCAGCGACAAGGGCAAAGCAGAGAGCAUCAAGGUGACAGACACCGAGAGAAUGGACCAAAUUAAAGCGUUUAAGAAAGCCUGGGAAAUGGCUGAAGCAGGCCGAUGUAACAAGGCUUUACAGUCUCGUCUCAAGUUUCUUAACCAAGUCCAACACGGAGCAAGUGAUGACUCUACCACAGACGGCGCAGAAAGCAGAGAGCUCGGUACUAUACUACACACACACACACACACACACAUACACACACACACACAUAUAUAUAUACAGAUGCAUUUGGGCGCUCUCCAUUUCUGUUAUUUGUCACAUACUGUAUUAUAAUAAGGCUUUUUGCAGCUUCUUCUGGAUCUGACCCUGGCGCCUCUCUCAGUCCCCCUAAUCAGAAACUGACAGAUACCUCAUGCUCCCAUCUUUGCAUGGACUACACUCCCUUCAUCAGUAGACGGCAGAAGGAGUUUCUGGUGGUGAUGGACACUCACACAGAAGAGAUCCAGCAGAGAGACCGCCUGGAGAAGAUACAGACGUACCGCUUGGUCCGAGACAUUGUGCUGGAGCAGCAGAAACAGCAGGCACUCAGCCAGAAGGAGCCAAUUAGAUGCCCGGUGGAGAUGUGUGAGAACAUGCAGGCAGCCUUGUGGCAGCGCCGCAAGAAGUUUCUCGACGCUUGCGAGGCAUUUAGUAGCCGUCAGAUGGCGGCCGUGAAAAAGGAACAAGACUCGAAACAAGCUCUGGAGGAGGCCCAGCAGGCAGUUCUAGAAAAAACAACCCCCACCUCCCCUGCCACCCAGAAGCCUAACAAACGUGCCAAGAGUGCUGGCAAGAAGAAAUGACGGCCAUUGGCACAAACUUCCAGUCUCAGUUCUCUCGGCAGACACCUCUCCACGAGUCUGUGUUGAAGAAUCUGCAUUUAAUCACAACAUCUUAGCCUUCAUACUGGAUCAAAAGAUUGUUGCUGCAUCUUAUUCAGAGCUGAUACUGUCUCUUGGUUAUGUCGUACUACUCUUUAAAGGGACAAUAUGUAGUUUUGGUGAAGAAUAUAAAUGAGGUAAUAAUAAAAACUCAACAUUUUUUGUUGUUGUUGCCACAACUGAAUAAACAAGCUGUUCUCAGAGAAAACAAGUUCCCCAGAACACUGUUUGAAGACUAGAAAGGUUGCAGGGUCCGCCACAUAUAAACACAGAAAAACAGUAUGAAAAUGUGUUGUCCUUUGAGGUCAGUUUGUUUUAUUAUUAUUUUUUAAAUGUAUUUAUUUAGUGAUGAAAAUGAGGAGAGUUUAUUUUAGUUUGUUUAGGCAUGAAAAAAAAAUCUGAUCUUUCUAUUCUGAUUAAAAUGUCUUCCCAAAACUACACAGUGAACCUUUUAAGACUCUAAACAGCUAGCUUGUUAAUGUUUGUGAUGAUUUUCAACCAAAGAUAUUGUGUUCUGUUCCGUAUUUAAUUCCAUUCCUUAAAGCACAUCCUGCAUCUUACAUCUGUAACCUGUAUAAAAUGAGCCGCUGUUCACCUGCGAGAGCAAUGAUUGUUCAUUUCCCUUUAAAAUGUAUCAAAUAUAAUACGUUUCAAAUGACAAAAUGUCUGUGACUGGCUGUGUGCUGACAUAUAAAAUCACUUCCUGUCAUCGCAAUUGAGAAUGUCAAGUCAUCUCACUUGCGAUCUAUGGCUUUGACUUUCCAUGCCCAGCAUGCCUGAUUAUAUUCCGUAAAUCUUUUGUUUUCUUGAAGGUCACCGUAUCGACUGUACGCCUCAAGGCACGCUUGAUACAGCCAACCUCCCACCGGCUGAGUGAUACCGAUUGAUCGUUUAAUUGAUAUAUUCAUGCUGAUAGAAGCCCACAAGAGUCCUGAUUCCUACAAGACAAAGUUUUUGGAAAAAAAAUAUGCCGCAAAGGUAAGUGGCAGAACUUCAAGGCAACAUGGCAACUAUCAAUAACCCACAAGGUUGAAGCGGAAUAUAUGUCCAAACAGAUGGUUAGGUUCCUAAUAUGCAUAAAAGUGUUAAUCAAUACAGUUCUUCUUUCUCACAUUAAUGUGAUUUAGCGACCUAAGUGCCAUUUUCUUUUUAGCCCAGUGAUUGGAGUGCAUCCAGAAGGUCUCCAAUCCACAGAAGAGAGUCAGCUGGUCAGCUGAGGAAUGAGAAGCCAAAUUGGAAAUGAAAGGGCAGAGGGUGCCAUCUAGUGGCUGUAGACGUUAAUAAAUUCUCAUUACCAGGGCCUGCACUGUGCUGUUUGACAUUAAUGAAUAGUUCCAUUUGGUGCUGCUGCAUGAAGGAAAUGAUCAUUACCCUGUGUGUGUGUGCACUUGUUAGAGUGUGUGUGUGUUUGUACAAGGUGGCAAGGAUGAGGAGAAUUUGUUAGUGCGUGCGUGCCUGUGUGUGUGUGUGUGUGUGUGUGUGUGCAAAGUCAUCCUGCAGUCAUCUGCUCCUGCUUUUAAAGCUUUUAAAAUACGUCUUUGUAGGAAAUGAUUUCUGAAUGAUAAAGGGCCUUAAUG
rnacentral:lncRNA from 1 species